AUGCUGGAAGGGGUAAAUUCAACCGCUAUUGUUCUUAUACCCAAAAUCCCUAACCCUACUAUGCUCACACAUUAUAGGCCCAUAAGUUUGUGCAAUGUUAUUUACAAGGUCAUAUCUAAAUGCUUGGUUAAUCGGUUGAGACCUUUGUUGGAUAAUAUUAUAUCAGUUGAGCAAAGUGCUUUUAUUCUGGGUAGGCUCAUCACAGAUAAGGCCCUUGUGGCUUUUGAAUGUAUCCAUCAUAUAAAGCAGGAGAAGGAUCCCACAAAAAGUUUUUGCGCUGAUAAGCUGGAUCUCGCCAAAGCAUAUGAUCGUGUUGAUUGGUCGUUCUUGAAGCGGGUGAUGCAAAAGUUGGGCUUCUCUCACAGAUGGGUGGACUGGAUAAUGUCAUGUGUCACCUUUGUGAGAUACUCUGGUAGAUUAAAUGGAACCCUCUUGGAUUCAUUCGCACCGUCACAUGGGCUUCGGCAAGGCAAUCCUCUCUCACCCUUUUUGUUCUUAUUUGUGGCCGACGCUUUGUCUUCUAUCCUAAAGCAUAAGGUGGGUGCUGGCGAGAUUACCCCUAUUAAAGUGUGCAGGCGGGCACCCGACAUGUCACAUUUACUGUUCGCAGAUGAUACCAUGUUGUUCUUUGAAGCUUCAAAGGAACAAGCAGAGAAGGAGGAAGUGCGUGGUGUCUUGAAUGUGUCUAAUAUGGUUUUCGAAGAGAAGUAUUUA
rnacentral:rRNA from 1 species